GGGGAAUUAGCUCAAGUGGUAGAGCGCUCGCUUUAGCAUGUGAGAGGUAGUAGGGAUCAAUACCCACAUUCUCCA